GGGCGUUCCUGUUUUGCUUAGUGCGUGCCUGCGGAAGGAUCAUUA
rnacentral:rRNA from 1 species